AUCGAACGCUAGCGGGAUGCCUUACACAUGCAAGUCGAACGGAGUGGCGAACGGGGGAGUAAUGUAUCGGAACGUGCACAGUAGCGGGGGAUAACUACGCGAAAGCGUAGCUAAUAACGCAUACUAUUGGAGCGGCCGAUAGCGGAUUAGCUAGAUGGUGGGGCACAGGCUCACAAAGGCGACGAUCCGAAGCUGGUUUGAGAGGACGACCCGCCAACCUGGGACUGAGACACGGCCCAGACUCCUACGGUAGGCAGCAGUGGGGAAUUUUGGGCAAUGGGGGAAACCCUGAUCCAGCCAUGCCGCGUGUGCGAUGAAGGUCUUCGGGUUGUAAAGCACUUUUGGCAGGAAAGCGGUACCUGCAGAGUAAGCAACGGCUAACUACGUGCCAGCAGCCGCGGUAAUAC
rnacentral:rRNA from 1 species